rnacentral:rRNA from 1 species
UACGUAGGGGGCAAGCGUUGUCCGGAUUUAUUGGGCGUAAAGAGCGUGUAGGUGGCUGGAUAGGUCCGUUGUGAAAACUCGAGGCUCAACCUCGAGACGCCGAUGGAAACCAUCCGGCUAGAGUCCGGAAGAGGAGAGUGGAACGUUCCCGGUGUGAGACGGUGAAUGCGCAGAUAUAGCGGGAGGAACACCGGAGGCGAACGGCG